rnacentral:rRNA from 1 species
GGAGGAGCUUGCGUCACAUUAGUUAGUUGGUGGGGUAAAGGCCUACCAAGACUAUGAUGUGUAGCCGGGCUGAGAGGUUGAACGGCCACAUUGGGACUGAGACACGGCCCAAACUCCUACGGGAGGCAGCAGUAGGGAAUUUUCGGCAAUGGAGGAAACUCUGACCGAGCAACGCCGCGUGAACGAUGAAGUAUUUCGGUACGUAAAGUUCUUUUAUUAGGGAAGAAUAAAUGAUGGAAAAAUCAUUCUGACGGUACCUAAUGAAUAAGCCCCGGCUAACUAUGUGCCAGCAGCCGCGGUAAUACAUAGGGGGCAAGCGUUAUCCGGAAUUAUUGGGCGUAAAGGGUGCGUAGGCGGUUAAAUAAGUUUAUGGUCUAAGUGCAAUGCUCAACAUUGUGAUGCUAUAAAAACUGUUUAGCUAGAGUAAGAUAGAGGCAAGUGGAAUUCCAUGUGUAGUGGUAAAAUGCGUAAAUAUAUGGAGGAACACCAGUAGCGAAGGCGGCUUGCUGGGUCUUUACUGACGCUGAGGCACGAAAGCGUGGGGAGCAAACAGGAUUAGAUACCCUGGUAGUCCACGCCGUAAACGAUGAGUACUAAACGUUGGGUAAAACCAGUGUUGAAGUUAACACAUUAAGUACUCCGCCUGAGUAGUACGUACGCAAGUAUGAAACUUAAAGGAAUUGACGGGACUCCGCACAAGCGGUGGAUCAUGUUGUUUAAUUCGAAGGUACCCGAAAAACCUCACCAGGUCUUGACAUGCUUCUGCAAAGCUGUAGAAACACAGUGGAGGUUAUCAGUUGCACAGGUGGUGCAUGGUUGUCGUCAGCUCGUGUCGUGAGAUGUUGGGUUAAGUCCCGCAACGAGCGCAACCCUUAUUGUUAGUUACCAGCACGUAAUGGUGGGGACUUUAGCAAGACUGCCAGUGAUAAAUUGGAGGAAGGUGGGGACGACGUCAAAUCAUCAUGCCCCUUAUGACCUGGGCUACAAACGUGAUACAAUGGCUGUUACAAAGGGUAGCUGAAGCGCAAGUUUUUGGCGAAUCUCAAAAAAACAGUCUCAGUUCGGAUUGAAGUCUGCAACUCGAC